rnacentral:rRNA from 1 species
UACGUAGGGUGCAAGCGUUAAUCGGAAUUACUGGGCGUAAAGAGCGCGCAGGCGGUCGUAUAAGUCGAAUGUGAAAGCCCCCGGCUCAACUGGGGAGGGUCAUUCGAUACUGUUCGACUCGAAGGCAGGAGAGGGAAGUGGAAUUCCGGGUGUAGUGGUGAAAUGCGUAGAUAUCCGGAGGAACACCAGUGGCGAAGGCGACUUUCUGGCCUGUUCUUGACGCUGAGGCGCGAAAGCUAGGGGAGCAAACGGG